rnacentral:rRNA from 1 species
CGGUGGAGCAUGUGGUUUAAUUCGAUGCAACGCGAAAAACCUUACCACUUCUUGACAUGGAGGCUAGAUCCUUCUUAACGGAAGGGCGCAGUUCGGCUGGGCCUCGCACAGGUGCUGCAUGGCUGUCGUCAGCUCGUGUCGUGAGAUGUUGGGUUAAGUCCCGCAACGAGCGUAACCCUCAUCCUUAGUUACCAGCGGGUAAUGCCGGGCACUUUAAGGAAACUGCCAGUGAUAAACUGGAGGAAGGUGGGGAUGAUGUCAAGUCAGCACGGCCCUUAUGGGGUGGGCUACACACGUGCUACAAUGGCGACUACAAUAGGU